rnacentral:rRNA from 1 species
AUUGGACGCUGGCGGAAUGCUUUACACAUGCAAGUCGAACGGCAGCACGGACCUCGGUCUGGCGGCGAGUGGCGAACGGGUGAGUAAUGUAUCGGAACGUGCCCAGUCGUGGGGGAUAACGUAGUGAAAAUUACGCUAAUACCGCAUACGAUCUAUGGAUGAAAGCGGGGGAUCGCAAGACCUCGCGCGAUUGGAGCGGCCGAUAUCAGAUUAGGUAGUUGGUGGGGUAAAGGCCACCAAGCCAACGAUCUGUAGCUGGUCUGAGAGGACGACCAGCCACACUGGAACUGAGACACGGUCCAGACUCCUACGGGAGGCAGCAGUGGGGAAUUUUGGACAAUGGGCGAAAGCCUGAUCCAGCCAUUCCGCGUGCAGGAUGAAGGCCCUCGGGUUGUAAACUGCUUUUGUACAGAACGAAAAGGUUUCUACUAAUACUAGGAGCUCAUGACGGUACUGUAAGAAUAAGCACCGGCUAACUACGUGCCAGCCGCCGCCGUAA